CCAAACCUGGUUGAUCCUGCCAGUAGUCAUAUGCUUGUCUCAAAGAUUAAGCCACGCAUGUCUAAGUAUAAACAAAUUUGUACUGUGAAACUGCGAAUGGCUCAUUAAAUCAGUUAUAGUUUAUUUGAUGGUAUCUUGCUACAUGGAUAACUGUGGUAAUUCUAGAGCUAAUACAUGCAAUCAAGCCCCGACUUC
rnacentral:rRNA from 1 species